AAACCUCGAAACCGAGCGUCGACCUAGUCGGAGCCCGGUUCGGACUAUGGGAGUCUGCGGGCGAACCACGUCCGCUCUCCUCAAAAGCAUUAGCCGUGGGCAAGGGCCUCGCAUGGCACGGCCUCUUCGACGUCGUAAUGAUCGUCGUGGGCUGGAAGUGCGUCGCUCCAUGGCCCCGUGCUUCCUUAGACUGGCGAGCCCGUUCGUAGGAACGGCCGCGCCGCAUCGAC
rnacentral:misc_RNA from 1 species